GUAGAUGUAGCUCAGUUGGUAGAGCACCUGACUGUUAAUCAGGAAGUCGCAGGUUCGAUUCCUGCCACCUACG
rnacentral:tRNA from 2 species